rnacentral:lncRNA from 1 species
AAGGUGUACUGUAUCUCUAAGUCUAGAUUUUUGCGAAAAUUUUGUAUGGCUUAAGUAAAUAGAAGAAUUAGUAAAUAACGGAAACCACGCAUAAAGACUCAACAACACGUUGAUAUUUAACUCGACUGACACUUUAACAAAAAUUAAAAUAACCAAAGGAGAUAACAAAAAAUUUAAAUCUAACUAGAAAGCGGUAAAUAAAAAG